rnacentral:tRNA from 1 species
CGAAUGGUGAGUCAUCGGGCUCAUGCCCCGAAGAAGUGGGUUCGAUUCCCACCU